rnacentral:rRNA from 1 species
UACGUAGGGCGCAAGCGUUGUCCGGAAUUAUUGGGCGUAAAGAGCUCGUAGGCGGCUUGUCACGUCGGGUGUGAAAGCCCGGGGCUUAACCCGGGGUCUGCAUUCGAUACGGGCAGGCUAGAGUGUGGUAGGGGAGAUCGGAAUUCCUGGUGUAGCGGUGGAAUGCGCAGAUAUCAGGAGGAACACCGGUGGCGAAGGCGGGUCUCUGGGCCGUUACUGACGCUGAGGAGCGAAAGCGUGGGGAGCGAACAGGG